AUUCUGCUGGUUUCUGCUGAGCCCAGUUGAACUCUUCUCAUGUUCCUCCAGCAGCCACAACUAAAGUACUGUAUCAGGACUGCCUUGGAACAUGAAACCAACUUACCGCUGUACUUUCCAUCUUGGAUGCUGAAGUUCUAGGGUAGGGUUGUCAGUAAAAUGCAGGACACCCAGUUAAAUUUAAAUUUCAAAUAAAUAAGAAAUAAUUUUUAGCCAUUAUUAUGGAGUUGUAGACCUGGUGUGGGGAGUAUGGGGAUCAACCUCAGAAGCCUCCAGAGAGAGAUUGGUGGACUCUAGGAGUGUCGAUCUCAGACUGACCAUCGCUGGGGCCACAUCCAAGCAGCAGCCCUUUGUCCAGAGCCAUUUCCUCCACUGGCCUCAGUUUCUGUAGGGCCCAGAUGGUGCUGAAGUCAGAUGCCAAGGGGAAAGUGACUUUACCCACGAGAGAGAUUUUUAAAUAUUCCCCCAACUGCUCCGAUGGGACCGUCUAGUUACAGGAAAACAAGCUCAAGGCUCCCACUGAUUCUACAUUACGAGCUGGAAGAAACGAAGAACCUCAACAAUUUUUAUUUCUACUUUUGAUCAAGGAAAAGCGUAUUUAGAAGGUUCGCUAGAGAAAAAUUUAGCAGUUUGGAGGAUUGAGAUCCUUUGGCAGAGAUAUGGGAGUGUGAGCAGGAAAUAUUUUUUUAAAGGAAGAGCUGGUGUUUUAGGAUGUCAAAGGUACAAAUUAUGAUGGUGCCAUGGUUGACAGAAAUUUGCAAGAUCUCCGUAUCUACAUGAACUCUUUGCUCCUGACUAUUAGCUGACUGGUCCAGAAAUUCUUGAUCCAAGCUUGAUAUGUAAGCUUCUCUCUCCUGUGAAUAUGGCACUGAGAGACACAAGAUUAGAAGCCCUGGGUGCUGAUCAAACUCAUAGCAAGGAAGAGUGGUGGCUCAAGACUGCCUGCUCCUGAGACUUCUGAGAAGGGUGUCUCUCUGUCUGUGUGGAUGCCUGAUGCUUCUGGUAUUUCACAAAUCUUGAGCCUGGCCAGGAGUUUACUAACAGGCACCCCUGUGUCAUCUGAACAAGAUAAAUAUCCCGCAGUGGAAUCAGCCUUCCCAGGGACCUCCCUGGACUCUGAGAAGUGAUUAAAGGGACUGUGCGGCAGUCAUGGGGAUGCAAGCAGCUGUGGCCAUCAAACUGGUUCUAACAGACAGUAUGAGAUCUUCAUGAUUCUGGACCAUAAGGAUUCCAAAUAGGCUGUUCACUUAUGAGUAGGCCUGUAACACGGACGUGUGAGAAUAAACGCCAGAGAAAAAUUUUUGAUGGUAUUGACAUGGAAUGCAUCUGUGGCACAGGCCAGCGAAGAGAUGGGUUGGCUUCCUCUUCGAGUCAGAGCAAAAGGAUGUGGCAAAAAAGAUCUAAGGAUGCCAUGAGGAAUUCCAUGUGUACAUGCAGGUCGUGGUGAGUCAAUUAUAACAGAUUCAGAGCUCAUCUGUGGGGAACCUGGGGAAAGACUGGGUCCCGGGUGAGCCACAGUUUUUCUACUCCGUUUCUGGCAGAAUCUAGAAUGAAGCAUACAUGUGAUAAAGUGUUUACACUUAAAGAAUAGAUAGAAAAGACUUCUAAGUGGGACAAGUGUUUUAGCAAGCAGGAAUAUGGUCACAGUAAGUGUGAAUCCCCUUGCACUACUGUCAAGGAGAGUU
rnacentral:lncRNA from 10 species